GUAGAGCGAGAGAACAUGAAUAGUAUUGGGUGAGAGAGAGAGAACAUGAAUAGUAUUGGGUGGUAGAGAGAGAGAGAGAGAACAUGAAUAGUAUUGGGUGGUAGAGAGAGAGAGAGAGAACAUGAAUAGUAUUGGGUGGUAGAGAGAGAGAGAGAGAGAACAUGAAUAGUAUUGGGUGGUAGAGAGAGAGAGAGAACAUGAAUAGUAUUGGGUGGUAGAGAGAGAGAGAGAGAACAUGAAUAGUAUUGGGUGGUAGAGAGAGAGAGAGAACAUGAAUAGUAUUGGGUGGUAGAGAGAGAGAGAGAACAUGAAUAGUAUUGGGUGGUAGAGAGAGAACAUGAAUAGUAUUGGGUGGUAGAGAGAGAGAGAACAUGAAUAGUAUUGUGUGGUAGAGAGAGAGAGA
ensembl:lncRNA